rnacentral:lncRNA from 1 species
AAUAUUCCCAGGAUUCGUGUCUGUUGAUCUCUUUUGCAAACGUAAAAAUAAUUAAUAACUGUAAACUUGCAUGUAAUUAUUUUCGUCUCAAUUUUUACAGAUAAACAGUAUUCUAAAAUACUAUUAAUUGCCGGUUGUUGAGAUCUAGCUAGACGAUCAAUUUGACUUAAACGUGUUGUCAUUUGAAUCGAUGGAUAUGAUUGGACAAAAUUAAUUAGCAUUGUCAAUAACCUAUUGUGAUUGGGUACAUAUGAAUUGCUAUCGAAAAUAGGGCGUAAAUGCAUUUACGAAUCGCCCGUUAAACUGUUAUUAUCCAAUAAUGUGGUUCCCGCGUUCCUUUAUUAUAGAUUGUCGACUGUUAAUGCAUUUAUGAUCGAUAAUGAUAGAUUGUCGACGAUAAUUUCGUAAAUGCAUUUACGACCGUA